CAGUCAGCGGAUCUUGUCCUUCGGGAUAAGGUUAGCGGCGGACGGGUGAGUAACACGUGGUUAACCUGCCCAUAAGACUGGGAUAACAUUCGGAAACGAAUGCUAAUACCGGAUACGCGAAUUGGUCGCAUGGCCGAAUCGGGAAAGGCGGAGCAAUCUGCCACUUAUGGAUGGACCCGCGGCGCAUUAGCUAGUUGGUGGGGUAACGGCUCACCAAGGCGACGAUGCGUAGCCGACCUGAGAGGGUGAUCGGCCACACUGGGACUGAGACACGGCCCAGACUCCUACGGGAGGCAGCAGUAGGGAAUCUUCCGCAAUGGACGAAAGUCUGACGGAGCAACGCCGCGUGAGUGAUGAAGGUUUUCGGAUCGUAAAGCUCUGUUGCCAGGGAAGAACGCUUGCGAGAGUAACUGCUCGCAAGGUGACGGUACCUGAGAAGAAAGCCCCGGCUAACUACGUGCCAGCAGCCGCGGUAAUACGUAGGGGGCAAGCGUUGUCCG
rnacentral:rRNA from 1 species